UACGUAGGGGGCAAGCGUUGUCCGGAUUUGUUGGGCGUAAAGAGCGUGUAGGCGGCCUGAAAGGUCAGCUGUGAAAACUCGAGGCUCAACCUCGAGACGUCGGUUGAAACCAUCUGGCUAGAGUCCGGAAGAGGAGUGUGGAAUUCCCGGUGUAGCGGUGAAAUGCGCAGAUAUCGGGAAGAACACCCGUGGCGAAGGCGGCACUCUGGGACGGUACUGACGCUGAGACGCGAAAGCGUGGGGAGCGAACAGG
rnacentral:rRNA from 1 species